GGAAAGAAGGAGGCAGAGAGGAAUGAGUCAAAGGUAGACGUGGGGAGGUUAAAGUCGCCCAGAACUGUGAGAGGUGAGCCGUCCUCAGGAAAGGAGCUUAUCAAGGCAUCAAGCUCAUUGAUGAACUCUCCGAGGGAACCUGGAGGGCGAUAAAUGAUAAGGAUGUUAAGCUUGAAAGGGCUGGUAACUGUGACAGCAUGGAAUUCAAAGGAGGCGAUAGACAGAUGGGUAAGGGGAGAAAGAGAGAAAGACCACUUGGGAGAGAUGAGGAUCCCGGUGCCACCACCCCGCUGACCAGAAGCUCUCGGGGUGUGCGAGAACACGUGGGCGGACGAGGAGAGAGCAGUAGGAGUAGCAGUGUUAUCUGUGGUGAUCCAUGUUUCCGUCAGUGCCAAGAAGUCAAGGGACUGGAGGGAGGCAUAGGCUGAGAUGAACUCUGCCUUGUUGGCCGCAGAUCGGCAGUUCCAGAGGCUACCGGAGACCUGGAACUCCACGUGGGUCGUACGCGCUGGGACCACCAGAUUAGGGUGGUCGCGGCCACGCGGUGUGGAGCGUUUGUAUGGUCUGUGCAGAGAGGAGAGAACAGGGAUAGACAGACACAUAGUUGACGGGCUACAGAAAAGGCUACGCUAAUGCAAGGAGAUUGGAAUGACAAGUGGACUACACGUCUCGAAUGUUCAGAAAGUUAAGCUUGCGUAGCAAGAAUCUUAUUGACUAAAAUGAUUAAAAUGAUACAGUACUGCUAAAGUAGGCUAGCUGGCAGUAGCUGCGUUGUUGACACUACACUAAUCAUUUAUUUCAGCUUUUAUUUCUUUCAUCAUUCCCAGGGGGUCAGAGGUUUACAUGCACUCAAUUACUAUUUGGUAGCAUUGCCUUUAAAUUGUUUAACUUGGGUCAAAUGUUUCAGGUAGCCUUCCGCAAACUUACCACAAUAAGUUGGGUGAAUUUUGGCCCAUUCCUCCUGACAGAGCUGGUGUAACUGAGUCAGGUUUGUAGGCCUCCUUGCUCGCACACGCCUUUUCAGUUCUGCCCACAAAUUUUAUAUAGGAUUGAGGGCAGGGCUUUGUGAUGGCCACUCCAAUAUAUGCACCCAUCCCGUUAGCGGGAUCAUUUUCGUCAACAUCAGCUGAAUUGCAGAGCGCCAAAUUCAAAUUAAAUUACUAAAAAUAUUUAAUUUUCAUGAAAUCACAAGUGCAGUAUAGCAAAACACAGCUUUUAAUAAAGCUUUUCGGCGAAAGCAUACCAAGCGUUUAUGUAAGGACAUCUUUCUCAGUAGAUAAAAUAUUAUAAACAGCUAGCAGCCAAGUAGAUUUGUCACAAAAGUCAGAAAAGCAAUAAAAUGAAUCGCUUACCUUUGAUCUUUGGAUGUUUAAACUCACGAGACUCCCAGUUACACAAUAAAUGUUCAUUUUGUUCCAUAAAGAUUAUUUUUAUAUCCAAAAUAACUCCAUUUGGUUGCCGCGUCAUGUUCAGAAACCCACAGUCGACUGAAGCCAGUUCGAUCACCUGCUCCAGGUGGUUGGAGCCAGGAUCACCCGGGUGGAUACCAACUACCGGGAGUCCAUCAGCCCAGUUUAACACCUGGCGAUUUGUCUCCGAUUCUUGGCGACAGGGGACUCCUACAUGACCAUAGGGUUCAGCUUCUGAGUUGGACGGUCCACUGUGACAGGCAUUGUCCCCUCUGUGGCACAAGCCAUUUGGAACUGUCUGGUUGGUGAAUACAUGCCUGUCCCCAAGGAGGAAGACUGGAGGGCCAUCGCUGCCGAGUUCCUGGAGAGGUGGAAUUUCCCCAACUGUCUUGGCUCCAUUGACAGGAAACAUGUAGUAAUCCAGGCUCCACCGUGCUCAGCUUCGCAAUUCUACAACUACAAGGGUACAUAUUCAGUUGUACUCUUGGCUGUAGUAGAUGCCAUCUACUGUUUCCCCGUUGUCGAUGUUAGUGCUUACGGCAAGGGAAGUGAUGGCGGGACCCUCCGGGUGCCACUUCAGGAUGGCACCCUGGAGAUUUCACCACCUGCAUCACUCACUGGGGCUAAAGACCUGGGGCCUGUUCCCCAGGUCUUCGUCGGCGAUGAGGCCUUCCCUUUAAGACCCAACCUCAUGAGGCCCUACGCUGGACGCCACCUGCCAUUGCCAAAGCCUGUAAGGAUCUUUAACAAAUGACUGUCCAGGGCGAGGUUUGUUGUUGAAUGCGCCUUUGGGAUUCUGGCAGCCCGGUGGAGAAUGUAUCGGAGAGUGCUUGGUCUCAGCCCCUCAAAUGUCGAUUGCCUGCCUGAAUGCAUCAUGUGUUCUCCACAACUACCUGCGGAGGUCAGUCCAGGAUCCGCUCUGGAUGGAGAUGGGCACGCCAAAUGGUCACCUUCCUGAUGUCACCAGGGCAGGUGCCAACAACACCCCCAGACAGUCCAGGAUCCGCUCUGGAUGGAGAUGGGCACGCCAAAUGGUCACCUUCCUGAUGUCACCAGGGCAGGUGCCAACAACACCCCCAGACAGGCACUCCAGGUGAGGGAGAAGCUGACCACCUACUUCUCAUCGCCAGCAGGUGAAGUCCCAUGGCAGUAUGCCGUGGAGUGAAACGGCUCUUUUAAGAGCCCCAUAACGCAAAGGUUAUUUUAAGAACCAUCCACUGUUGUCCAUAAAAUUGCAUUUUUUUUCCCUAAAAUUACUUCAUGUAUCAUUCUCUUCAUUUGGAAGCUAUAUUUAAGUGACAUUUGGGAGUAAAGACCACACCUUAACCCCUUCCCUGUCCCAUUAACGUCAGUAUACUUUGAAAAGCAGCUGAUACAUUUUAACCCUUGCUGCUUUUCUUUGCUGGGGCAGCCUGUUCAGUGUUGGCACCAGGCUUAUGGCAAAGAGGGUCUCUUCAUCCUCCUUCCUGUGAGCAUCAGAUUGGGCUGCAUCCCUCUCGACAGCUUGGAGGAGCCUCUGCUGAAAUUAGUUGAGUGGCUCUGGGGGCUGGUACCUCCGAUGACACCUGGUGUGACGUUGUUCCUCUUCGUUUCUCUCUGUUUCUCUCCACGGCCACAUCCUGUUCAACGAGAUCCUCAGUGGUCACUUCCGUGAGGUUCAUAAUAAGGUGGUCCUAGAUCCAGAGGUGCUUCCUCCAUUUCAUCAUCUUCCAUGGCUGCACCGGUGGUGGUCAUACUUGUGGAUGAUGUAGAUGUUGUAGAGGGUCUCGCUGCACCGGUGGAGGCGAUGGUCGCACUUGUAGAUGACAUUGAGGGUCUUGGUGCACCGGUGGCGACAACACUUGUGGAUGACGUAGUAGAGGGUCUGGCUUUAAUAUUGCCACUCGUUGCCAUAGGCACAAUAAAUGGACCCAGAAAAGAAAAUGUGGCAGAAGCGCCAAGGCUGCUGGCCUGAAGCGGCUGACCCAGACCUCUGCCCUUCUCUCUCUGUCACUGAGUCCUCUCCACUUCCUCCUAAAAUCUUCUUCUACACAGAGAUAAGCCAAACCAUUACCUAGGAUAACUAUAGUUAUUAGAUAGCUAUCAUGAACAUGUCACCUACUGUACACUCAGGCACACGGUUAUCUGACCAAAUUAUCAGGGGUACAGUAUAGAGGUCGACCGAUUAAUCGGAAUGGCCGAUUAAUUAGGGCCGAUUUUUCAAGUGUUCAUAACGAUCGGAAAUCAGUAUUUUUGGGCGCCGAUUUUUAUUUUAUAAAAUAAAAUUUGAUACCUUUUUAUUUAACUAGGCAAGUCAGUUAAGAACACAUUCUUAUUUUCAAUGACUGCCUAGGACCUGUGGGUUAACUGCCAGAUUUUCACCUUGUCAGCUCAGGGGUUUCAAUCUUGCAACCGCACAGUUAACUAGUCCAACGCUCUAACCAUUGCACUCCACGAGUAGCCUGCCUGUUACGCAAAUGCAGUAGAAGCCAAGGUAAAUUGCUAGCUAGCAUUAAACUUAUCUUAUAAAAAACAAUCCAUCAUAAUCACUAGUUAUAACUACUAAUCCAGUUUAGCAGGCAAUAUUAACUAGGUGAAAUUGUAUCAUUUCUCUUGCAUUCAUUACAUGCAGAGUCAGGGUAUAUGCAACAGUUUGGGUUGCCUGGCUCAUUGCGAACUAAUUUGCCAGAAUUUUACGGAAUUAUGACAUGCAUCGAAGGUUGUGCAAUGUAACAAGAAUAUUUAGACUUAGGGAUGCCACCCGUUAGAUAAAAUACCGAACGGUUCUGUAUUUCACUGAAAUAAUAAACGUUUUGUUUUCGAAACGAUAGUUUCCGGAUUCGAUCAUAUUAAUAACCAAAGGCUCGUAUUUCUGUGUGUUAUUAUGUUAUAUUUGAUAGAGCAGUCGGACUGAGUAGCAGCAGGCCCGUAAUCAUUUAUUCAAACAGCACUUCCGUGCGUUUUGCCAGCAGCUCUUCGCAAGCACGGCGCUGUUUAUGACUUCAAGCCUAUCAGCCUAAUGGCUGGUGUAACUAAUGUGAAAUGGCUAACUAGUUCGCUGGGUGUACGCUAAUACUGUUUCAAACGUCACUCGCUUUUAGAUUUGGAGUAGUUAUUCCCCUUGCGCUGCAAGAGCCGUGGCUUUUGUGGAGCGAUGGGUAACGAUGCUUUGAGUGUGGCUGUUGUCGAUGUGUUCCUGGUUCGAGCCCAGGUAGGGGCGAGGCGGGGGACGGAAGCUAUACUGUUACACUGGCAAUAAUAUAGUGCCUAUAAGAACAUCCAAUAGUCAAAGGUAUAUGAAAUACAAAUGGUAUACAGAGAAAUAGUCUAAAACCUCUUACCUUGGAAUAUUGAAGUCUCAUGUUAAAAGGAACCACCAACUUUCAUAUGUUCUCAUGUUCUGAGCAAGGAACUUAAACAUUAGCUUUUUUACGUGGCACAUAUUGUACAUGGCACGUUUUUACAUGGCACAUAUUACUUUCUUCUUCAACACUUUGUUUUUGCAUUAUUUAAACCAAAUUGAACAUGUUUCAUUAUUUAUUUGAGGCUAAAUUGAUUUUAUUGAUGUUUUAUAUUAAGUUAAAAUAAGUUAACUCAGUAUUGUUGUAAUUGUCAUUAUUACAAAUGUUUAAAUAAUCGUCCGAUUAAUCGGUAUCUGCCUUUUUGGUCCUCCAAUAAUCGGUAUCUGCGUUGAAAAAUCAAAUCAUAAUCGGUCGACCUCUAGUACAGUAGUAUCUACCAUUUCUAUUAUUAAUUACCUGACAUUCACACUCUUUCAAACAUAAUUAUUUGGUAAGUUAUCAGGCGUAGUAACUAGAAUAAUUUAUGACUUUCUUUCACACACCUCAUUGGCUAGGUUAGCAAGCUACAUUAGCUAGCUAGCUAACCACAUCUAGCACAAGAUCACUACUUUACUGACCUGCAAAUCCUACUAUUGUGGACACUUGUCUCAAAGCAGUAUUUUUUUGUGUUUAUGUCCCUGUAGGUGUCAGUAGUUGUGUCAAAGACAUGGUUUUGAGAAUACUGUGAAAAUGAUUUUCUUCUCAAUGUGUCCAACCGCAUGCGACCAGCUGCAAAAGAUACAUGCAUCAGUAUAGUUGCCUAGCUGCGCUACUGCUGUUAUGCAGCAGUGAUGCAAAAACACAGUCGGUGUGUUCGAAGCGUGAGGGUUUACGGCCGAGGGCUGUCUACUUGAUUUUGAAACGCAGCCCUGGAUUCGACGGGGAUUCUCCCGAGGGAAAGUGGCUAGUGCGAGGGCUAAGGGGUUCAAAUGUAAUGUGAUUGGAUUCCAGCCCAAUUCGGGAUCUCGGGCGUCUUUUUUUAACUUAUAUAUAUAUAUAUAUUUAUUUUUUAUUAACAAAAAUCAACAAACAAGAGGAAUAGUCACAUGCAAACAAGCAUACAUAAACGUUUUAUAUUGCCAGGAAUCCUAAACAAACAAAUCAUAUUCAUUAAUAAUACACGUUUUAAUUGCCUUUUUGUUUUUCAUUUUAGUUAAUGAAGUAGUGCCAUAUUGUUUAAAUUCAUUUUACAAAGUAAAAAAAUGCUAGGUUUGGAAUUUGAGAAUUUGCAUUUGUGAAUAUAAAAUGUACCUAGUAUUAUUAGCAAUUGAAUUAAAUGUAUCUUUAUUAAUGUCAAUAUUUCUGAAAAAAUCAUUUCAAAACCAUUAACUUGUACAACCGGUCCUGUAUGUAAUAAAGUUGUGUGUGUCAAUCCAAAAAAAUGAUACUAUAAAUACUGGUAAAAACUCACAAUUAUAGUCAACAUUCAGCUUGAAUCUUUCCAAAACAUGUUUCACAGGAUAAAUUCUACGUAACAUUUUACAUGAAACCUCUACCUUGUUACUGAUACAUUAUUUUGUUAGCAAUUUUCCAUGCUUUCCUACGUUGUAUAUCACCAUAGAUAUUCUACCCAAUAAGUCCUGCUGAGGGAAGUGUAUCACAAACAAUAUUCCUAAUCUGUUUAUUACUACAUUUCUCUGAGGAUUUUAAUAUUGCCAAUUAAUGUAUUUUCAUGUAACGCUAUUACUUCAACCACACAGGAAUAAACAUUUAAAAAAUACAACUCCCACGUGGAAUUGAAUCAAAAACAACAUUCUCUAGUAAAUUCUUAUUCAUUUUCCAGUAACCUAUACUAACUUUUUUUGUUGACAAACCAUUCAUAUUUAUCUUUAUCGAAAUCCCUUUGUGGUCUGUCAAAAUCGAUGGUUCAAUUGAGACUGUAUCAACCUUGUCAGCCAUAAAUCAAUAUGGGAUUGUAUAGAUACAUCUUUGGUUCUCCAUGUAAACAUAUUCUUAUCUGGGUUCUUAUGUCUCUACAUAUAUAGAACACCUAACCAUAGACAUAUAUUCCUUAUCUCACAAACAGAUGGCCUCCUAAGGAUAGCAAUUAUAUCUAGAUUAUCAUGUAAUAUUGUUAUUAAAAUAUCCACCCCGUUUUACUUUGGCCAAUGGAAAUGUAGACAUUUUACUUCCUUUCCUCUCGAUGUCUCUAAAUAAAAUAGUUACUUGACUUGUUAUUGGUAGCAUAAGUAUUAACAACAAGGAAUUGAAUGUGGUUGACAUCUAUCAAUAGCACAAUCCAUCUCCCUGUAUUACCUGCUUCAUGACCUUUAAAGUUGCCUUUUAAAAUUGCGUCACCUACUGACCCAUUGGUGCCGAAUAUCAUUCCCCCAUUUGACAUUUCCAAUACGCAGUAUCUGUGGAAUUAAAUAAAAGUUGGGGCCUUUUACAAUACAAAAAUAUAGAUGUCCUUUUCAUUUUACGGAUUUCCCUGGCAUUAAUAGAAAAAACAGAAAUUGACAUUUACUAUCACAGUGACUAUAUGAAGAAUAUUAAACUUGUAUACGUUCACAUGGACCGGGUUCUCACAAAAUGAAACGUUCUUUCUAGUUGCAAAUACAAACAGUCCUUUGCACCAUGCAGGUGGUAGACCUAAAGUAUAUUUUUAUACAAUUGCAAAUAACAUUGUGCCAUAGAUUGGUAAAACAAAUAACAAAUCAAGCUAACAUUAAGUGAAUUUCCCUGCCAUAAAAUAAUUGGUUCACACAAAUAAUGCUCUUUCCUUAAAUACAUUUUAUCAGUUGCAAAUAAAAAUCAGUCCUGCACCAUUCACUUGGUAAAUCCAGUCGUCAUCAAGCUAGGCAUCAGUGCAAAUUUCCCUUCCAUUUAACAAAGCCUUGGCUCCCGCAAAGUAUGCACUUUUCCCCUCUUUCCUUGCCCUCUCAAUCAUCGGCCACAGACGAUUCCGAGCUUCUUUGUCAACUGCUCGGGUUGUUGUUCUUUAAAUAGUCAUUUUUCUUUGCACUUUUCCAUGUCAGAUCCCUCGCUGUCCUGGAGAUUAAUUUCAUGAUCACUGGUCGUGGUGGCUGGUUCUCCCCAUCUCUCAGCCUACCCAGGCACUGCACUACAUCCAGAGAACCUGCAACAACAUUUUGCUCGUCCUCCGGGACUAUUGCCCUGCAAAUGUCCUUCACUUUUGUUUUGAUGUUCUCGUCAGAUCUUUCUGUGAUUCCAUAAAUUCGAAGAUUCCAUCUCCGACUAUACCGGUCAGUCUUGUUUACUCCAUUUCAGUGAGUUUCUUCUCCUGAUUUGCAACCUGAGUUUUCAAUGUUGCGUUCUGCUGCUUCAGAGUAUUUACUUCCUCAGCAUUGAAAUCAAUCGCUUUCCUCAGGUUAACGAUGCUGAGUGUUCUUUUUAACCAAGUCCAUGAUGUCAGCUGCACUCUUUGAUUUUAGCCGCGAGGAUGCGGACGAUGUUGUCCUGUAGCUGCCUCAGUGAUGGUUCACUUCUCAACUUCUUUGGAAGUUGCUCCUUGGUUGGGGUAUUAGGGUAUGAAUCACAUUCACCCCCAGUUUUACACUGCAAGCAUAUGAAUGAGUUUCAGCAAUGCCUCUUUUCUCCUUGGACGUUUCAACAUCCAUUAUCUCAGCAACAGUUUGGUUAUGUCCUGACUCCAUGCUGCUAGCUAUGAAGAUGUUAGCGAGCUAACGUUAGCUAACUUUGAUAGUUAGCUUGUUCUUUGGAAAUCGUCCCCAAAAGGUAUUUCAGUGGCUUGAUUAAUUACAAAAUGUAUAUGUAUGUACAUAUCAUUUUCCCACGUUUUGUUGUUACAGUUUGAAUUUCAAAUGUAUUAAAUUGAGAUUGUGUCACUGACCUAGACACAAUACCCCAUAAUUUCAAAGUAUAAUUAUGUUUUUCAACAUUUUUACAAAUAAAUAAAAAGCUGAAAUGUCUUGCAUCAACCCCUUUUGUUAUGGCAAGUAAGUUCAGGAGUAAAUUGCUGAACUCACUGUGUGCUAAUAGUUAACAUGAUUUUUUUUUUUAAUGACUACCUCAUCUCUGUACCCUAUGUGACAGGUUAAAGGACAUAUUCAUAGCCUGUUAUACAUUGAAAAGUAUUAGUAAGUUCAUAGUAUGUGAGGAUCUUAAAACAUCUAAGGUUAAAAAGAUGCAUUCAGUAUUAGUUGAUAGAGAUUGAUAACAUUCAUAUAAUUGUGUUAAAGUUCAAAUCUGUCAAAGGGUACGAAUUGUGAGAGUAAUGUGUAAACGUUAUAUUGAUUACUUUAUUUUGUGGUGCCUAAAAGUUUUAAUCUGUGAUCUACGAAAUGCUCUUAAGCUAAUGAGCCGGAGAUCGAUUGCUCUGGUCUCCACGCAUAUUCCUGGGGAAAUUCGCGGUCUUUUCUCAUUGAACUAAAUGUUGACUUGAGAAUACAACACCGUAUCACUCUCGUGAUUAUUUCUCCCCUGUUUUCAGGUACUUUAUUGAUGAUAAAAAUAGUAAUUUAAAUGUUAUAACUAGCGAACAUGUCAAGAGUGUUUAAGGUGUGUUUUAGUAACGUCUUGAGGAAGUUAGAGUUAAGUUUGAAGAGAGUAAUAUUAGCCCUGCUCGGUUGAAGUGAAGGAUAGCGUCGUACUGAGAGUAGCUGCCAUUUUAUGUCGAUUGUGAAUGAACAUGCGUGUUGUUAAUAAGAUAUUUUGCUGUGUUAUUUGUAUAACGAGUUUUCUGUUAUGUAAUGUUACUUUUGUGAAAUGAUUGAACUAAAUGUUGACUUGAGAAUACAA